AGCAGCCGCGGUAAUUCCAGCUCCAAUAGCGUAUAUUAAAGUUGUUGCAGUUAAAAAGCUCGUAGUUGAAUUUCGGGAUUAGUACGUUGGUCGUGCCUUCGGUACGUACUGGUGUUACUGAUUCCUACCUUCUGACGAACCAUCAUGUCAUUUAUUUGGUGUGGCGGGGAAUCAGGACUGUUACUUUGAAAAAUUAGAGUGUUUAAAGCAGGCUCGCGCUUGAAUACAUUAGCAUGGAAUAAUGAAAUAGGACGUUGACCCUAUUUUGUUGGUUUCUAGGAUUGACGUAAUGAUUAAUAGGGAUAGUUGGGGCAUUAGUAUUCAAUUGUCAGAGGUGAAAUUCUUGGAUUUAUUGAAGACUAACUACUGCGAAAGCAUUUUGCCAAGGAUGUUUUCAUUAAUCAAGAACGAAAGUUAGGGGAUCGAAGACGAUCAGAUACCGUCGUAGUCUUAACCAUAAACUAUAGCCGAACUAGGGAUCGGAUGAUGUUAUUUUUAAUGACUCAUUCGGCGCCUUAC
rnacentral:rRNA from 1 species